GUAUGCUCACCAGCGACGACGGUAGCGCUGAGAGGGCGACGGCACACUGGGACUGAGACACGGCCCAGACUCUACGGGAGGCAGCAGUGGGGAAUAUUGCACAAUGGGCGAAAGCCUGAUGCAGCGACGCCGCGUGAGGGAUGACGGCUUUCGGGUUGUAAACCUCUUUCAGCAGGGAAGAAGCGAAAGUGACGGUACCUGCAGAAGAAGCGCCGGCUAACUACGUGCCAGCAGCCGCGGUAAUACGUAGGGCGCAAGCGUUGUCCGGAAUUAUUGGGCGUAAAGAGCUCGUAGGCGGCUUGUCACGUCGGUUGUGAAAGCCCGGGGCUUAACCCCGGGUCUGCAGUCGAUACGGGCAGGCUAGAGUUCGGUAGGGGAGAUCGGAAUUCCUGGUGUAGCGGUGAAAUGCGCAGAUAUCAGGAGGAACACCGGUGGCGAAGGCGGAUCUCUGGGCCGAUACUGACGCUGAGGAGCGAAAGCGUGGGGAGCGAACAGGAUUAGAUACCCUGGUAGUCCACGCCGUAAACGGUGGGCACUAGGUGUGGGCAACAUCCACGUGU
rnacentral:rRNA from 1 species